UGAGGAAUAUUGGUNAAUGGCCGAGAGGCUGAACCAGCCAAGUCGCGUGAGGGAAGAAUGUCCUAAGGAUUGUAAACCUCUUUUGUCGGGGAGCAAAAAGGCUCUGCGGAGUCGUAUUGAGAGUACCCGAAGAAAAAGCAUCGGCUAACUCCGUGCC
rnacentral:rRNA from 1 species